AUUUAAAUAGUUUAAUUAAAAUUUAAUAUUGAAGAUAUUAAGAUAAUUUUUAUAAUUUUUAAAUA
rnacentral:tRNA from 1 species